rnacentral:rRNA from 1 species
UACAGAGGUCUCAAGCGUUGUUCGGAUUCAUUGGGCGUAAAGGGUGCGUAGGUGGCGUGGUAAGUCGGGUGUGAAAUUUCGGAGCUUAACUCCGAAACUGCAUUCGAUACUGCCGUGCUUGAGGACUGGAGAGGAGACUGGAAUUUACGGUGUAGCAGUGAAAUGCGUAGAUAUCGUAAGGAAGACCAGUGGCGAAGGCGAGUCUCUGGACAGUUGCUGACGCUGAGGCACGAAGGCCAGGGGAGCAAACGGG